UGGCCUACGGGGGGCAGCAGUGGGGAAUAUUGGGCAAUGGGCGCAAGCCUUACCCAGCAAUACCGCGUGAGUAAAGAAGGUCUUCGGGUUGUAAAGCUCUUUGAUCAGGGACGAACAGAUGACGGUACCUGAAGAACAAGCCCCGGCUAACUACGUGCCAGCAGCCGCGGUAAAACGUAGGGGGCGAGCGUUGUCCGGAAUGACUGGGCGUAAAGGGAGCGUAGGCGGCGAUGCAAGUCAGAAGUGAAAGACCGGGGCUCAACUCCGGGACUGCUUUUGAAACUGUAUGGCUAGAUUGCAGGAGG
rnacentral:rRNA from 1 species